GGAGGGGUGUCCGAGCGGCCUAAGGAGCGUGGCUGGAAACCACGUGCCCUGUAAAAAGGGGCGCACGGGUUCAAAUCCCGUCCCCUCCGCCC
rnacentral:tRNA from 1 species